AAACCAGCACCUCAAGUGGUCAGGAUGAUUAUUGGGCCUAAAGCAUCCGUAGCCUGCUCUGUAAGUUUUCGGUUAAAUCUGUACGCUCAACGUACAGGCUGCCGGGAAUACUGCAGAGCUAGGGAGUGGGAGAGGUAGACGGUACUCGGGAGGAAGUGGUAAAAUGCUUUGAUCUCUCGAUGACCACCUGUGGCGAAGGCGGUCUACCAGAACACGUCCGACGGUGAGGGAUGAAAGCUGGGGGAGCAAACCGGAUUAGAUACCCGAGUAGUCC
rnacentral:rRNA from 1 species